CCAAGCAGUUCUACCUGAUACCACUAGAGGUCAGUAUAUGCGAAAAGCUGGUUCACACAUGAGUGCAAGUGGAAAUAAAACGUCCACUGUUACAUCUACUAAGUUUGCAAUGUUCCCUGCAAGAAUCACUGUUAGUAUACGGAUCAAAUAGUGACGUACACUAAAAACCAGUGUGCGCAUGCGUCCGCAGAUCGGGCAGCCACAGUGCUGUUAAGGUCCCUCCUGGUGUCAUGGGCGACAUCGCGGACCCGUCGGUCCCCAAAUCGACUACUAUCCCAUCCCAGCUACCCAGCUGGCCAGCGUACAAGCUGGCGGACCUUUUUGGAACAGGAAAGAUUACAACUUCUUGACGAAAUGAAGAAGAGGAACAACUGCCAGAUCAUCAGUGAAAAACUAGAAUUAACAUUCUCCAUACGCAGACAGGAAGUUGUGAUACUUGUCAGUGACGUCAAAGAUAGCCUGCUCUUUUUGAUGCAGCACAGGUCAUUCCAGUCUCUAGCAGCAGCGUUCUGAAAAGACGACAGGCCAAGUACAGAAGUAGCCUUAGGAACUGUCAACAGAAUCAGAUUAGCAGAUCGAGUAUUAUACACAGAAGUAGAAAAGUGUAACAAUUCCUAUAAAUGAUGAAUUGAGAAGGAUCACCACCGUUAACCUGGAAUCAACAUUAAUGGCAAAACUGGACCAAUACUCCCCGAAAAUAAUGGUCUUGGAUUCUUCGAGAGGAGGGGCUACAAAAAUUAAGACCCAGCAAAUUAGGAACAUGUAUGGAUAAAUAAAUUAAAUCUAGAUUUUUUUUUUAUAAUUAACAGGCUGUUGUGUUUGGUACAUUAGCUAAUCAUGAUAAUGAAUUAAUCUCAUGAGCAUUGUGGUUUGUCUUUUACUUGAGAGUGAAUAGUGAAGCUAAAUUUACUAUUUGCACAGAAAUAAAAUUUCAAAUGCAAAACCACUCGAUUUGUACAUCUUUUACUGUGUUCUCUAUUUCAUUCUUCUCUCAAGCAGAGAAGAUGUGUAAAAUCCAUAAUUACAUAAACGCAUUAUAUGUACCUUAGGAGUGCUGAGUAAAUGCUUAAUAUCACAGCUAGGUUUAGGAGUGUAAAUUGAGGGAAGUACUGGCCAUAGGAUUGGUAUCAGGAGUUAAUAUUGAGUAAAUACUUAGACAUCACAGGUAAGAUGAGAAUGUAUUAAGGUAAGUAUUAAGCACAUCACAAGUGAGUUAAAUAAACUGAGUGUGUUACAGGUAUCUUAGAAAUAUUUCUUGGGAAAUCAACUACAAGGUAACUGAAAUCCCGCAGUGGAAAUAAGGAAGU